CCCUGGAACGAUACAAAGAAGAUUAGCAUGGCCCCUGCGCAAGGAUUACACGCACAAAUCGAGAAAUGGUCCAAAUUUUA
rnacentral:snRNA from 1 species